UUGUCACGGCUCAACUGCCCGUGGAGAGGAAGCAGCAUACGGCGUUUCUUUCUUCUUUUAGUGGGACAAACAGAUGUCACCCUGUGAAACACAAAUGUAUUUUAAUUCAUAUUUGUGCUUAAAACCAGACUCUCGUUUUGGGUCAGCUGAGAGUAGUGUGCACUACAGGUGGUUUGGCACUUAGCUGGCCUUGGACUUCUGGCAGCUGUGUUGUUUUUUGGCUAAUGCCAAGCACAUUCAGACCUGGGAAGAGAAGAAUAAUACAUCACAAACUGGCUUAAGAGCCCCAGUCUUUCUGGUAAUUACCUGACUCUGUUAAGCUCUCGUGGUAAAAUGAGUUUCACUUAAAUGCAAGAGAUGCUUGUAUACAUCUAGCGAGCAAGCUUCUUUUCUGGAUAUUCAUCUUAGAAGUUGAUACCAUUGCGCUCAAAAUAAAGCUUUCUAAAAGAAAAAAGGUUUACAAUUCGCAGGGAAAGAUAAUAUGAGGUCACAUUUCAAAUAUCUAAUGCUUUAACUUUUUUUUGCAGAUUAAUAAACAUACUGAAGCAUUUUAUGGAGCUAGAAUGGCAGUGAAAGGAAUUUUAAUUAUUUACUUCCAAUUAGGUAUUUUAAAUAGAGAAACAUGGGGCUAUUUUGGGCCUUGUUUUUGAAAUUUUAGGCCUUCAGUUGGUCAUAAGAAACAGGAGUUAAUCUCAGCGUUUGAAUAUUUCCUCUUUUCUAACAGUAAUACUUGACUAAAAUGUUGAAGUUCAAAAUGGCUUAUUCAUAUUUUGGUUUAGCUUUUUCCUCUAAGUUACUUUAAAUUAGUCUGUGAAUUUUAAUAAAUAUUUUUACUUGAAUCUUUCAUUUGGAUUCUGUAGCUUUGCUUUUGAUUGUCCAGCUUGAACUAGGACUGCAAGAAUGUGUUAUGCUUAUGCAAGUGAUCGGCAUGAAAGGUUAUUUUUUAUCUCCACUGUUAUCUAAGAGUUUUACAACUAUUCAUAGGGUGCUUAUUUUUAAAACUUUGACAUUUUCUCCAGGUUUAAGUUUGUUUUAUAAUACAAGUUCCUCACUGCCACAAUGAGGCUAGUAAUUCUUGAAGAUUAUGAUCAGGCUAGUGAAUGGGCAGCAAAAUACAUCUGUAAUCGUAUUAUCCAGUUCAAGCCAAGUCAAGGAAGAUAUUUCACGCUUGGUCUACCAACAGGUAGUACGCCUUUGGGAUGCUACAAAAAGCUGAUAGAAUAUCACAAAAAUGGAGAUCUCUCUUUCAAAUAUGUAAAGACUUUCAACAUGGAUGAAUAUGUAGGGCUCCCUAGAAAUCAUCCAGAGAGUUAUCAUUCCUAUAUGUGGAAUAACUUCUUUAAGCAUAUUGACAUAGAUCCAAAUAAUGCUCAUAUCCUUGAUGGGAAUGCUCCAGACUUACAGGCGGAAUGCGAUGCAUUUGAAAAGAAAAUUGAAGAAGCGGGAGGGAUUGAUCUGUUUGUUGGAGGCAUUGGUCCAGAUGGCCACAUUGCAUUCAAUGAACCCGGAUCAAGUUUGUCUUCAAGAACAAGAUUAAAGACUUUAGCAAUGGACACCAUUUUGGCAAAUGCUAAAUACUUUGAUGGAGACUUAUCUAAAGUACCAACUAUGGCGCUAACAGUUGGUGUGGGUACAGUGAUGGAUGCUAGAGAAGUAAGAACUCAUUUAGUUCUAGUUGCAUGUGUGUUUUCAAGACUAGUUGGUAUUGAUACUGGGAUUGAAAGUAAAGAGACCUUUGUUUUGCAGGUGAUGAUUCUUAUAACAGGUGCACAUAAGGCUUUUGCACUGUACAAAGCAAUUGAAGAAGGAGUCAAUCAUAUGUGGACAGUUUCUGCUUUCCAGCAACACCCUCGCACAAUCUUUGUGUGUGAUGAAGAUGCUACUUUAGAACUAAGAGUCAAAACUGUGAAGUACUUUAAAGGUUUAAUGCAUGUGCACAAUAAGCUUGUGGACCCACUGUACAGUAUGAAAGAGAACUGAAAGAAGAAUUGAAGAGGAACUCCAUGUGGGUCAACAGCAACCGUUUUAGGUAGCAGAUGAGUUCACUGCUAUGCAAUAUGCUGAAAACCGUUUAAAAGGGGGAAUCCUAGGGCUGCAGUGUAAACAUAUAGCUUAAGCAUGCAUGAAAAAGUGGACAGAUUUCAUUGAGAUGUUUCUUCAAUGGUAAGACUGAAUGGAAAAUAAAACGUGUCAUUUGAAAGUUGCAAAUGUUUCUAUAUUUUUUGAAAUAAAUAAAAACAGCUGUUUGUAUAAUUACUGCAUAAAACAGGUUCUACUUUAUCACUUUUCACAUCACUGAAUCUUCAGAAAAUGUAGAUUACUCUACACCAAGAAGCAA